GACGAACGCUGGCGGCGUGCUUAACACAUGCAAGUCGAGCGAUGAAGCACCUUCGGGUGUGAAUUAGCGGCGAACGGGUGAGGAACACGUGAGAAAUCUGCCUUCAACUCUGGGAUAACUCCGUGAAAACGGGGCUAAUACCGGAUAUGAAACCUGCGGGCAUCCGCGGGUUUGGAAAGUUUUUCGGUUGAAGAUGAUCUCGCGGCCUAUCAGCUUGUUGGUGAGGUAAUGGCUCACCAAGGCGACGACGGGUAGCCGGCCCGAGAGGGCGACCGGCCACACUGGGACUGAGACACGGCCCAGACUCCUACGGGAGGCAGCAGUGGGGAAUAUUGGGCAAUGGAGGAAACUCUGACCCAGCGACGCCGCGUGCGGGAUGAAGGCCUUCGGGUUGUAAACCGCUUUCAGCAGGGAAGAAGCGAAAGUGACGGUACCUGCAGAAGAAGCACCGGCUAACUAUGUGCCAGCAGCAGCCGCCG
rnacentral:rRNA from 1 species